UCCUUGUCAUCAGCUAUGCAACCAUUCUUUGCACAGUUGAAGCAUGAAAUUUCCCCAUUGCAUUCACUUUUCAAGGCUAAAUUAUUCCUGUCUUAUCCUAUGUAUUUUCCACAGCUGAAUCAUGUUUGUGCCAACACAGGCUAGAAGCAAUAUUUGGAAGUCAGAGAAAUCCAGUUUCUAAUCCUAGGUCCCCCACUUUUUUCUAAUUAAGGAGCCUUGGAGAAUUUCAGAGUUCCAAUUCCCUCAUUGUAAAGUAGGGCCAAUAAAACUUAUUCUGAAAGAGAAGAAUUAAAGGAGGCAGUGGGUGGAGCACCCAGAAGACGUCUAAUAAAUACUAGCGCCCUUUGCUUUCCUUCUUUUCUCAACUUGAUUUUCCCCAGCACACUGGCCACUGACUCUUCUAUACUGAGAGGAGAGAAAAUAUAAUUCACCAAUACAUACAGAUUUUGAGCUAUGAUUUCACGGAUGGUGACAAACUCCACAUUAAAGUCACAUAAUGUAUUGUGAAGAUUUGGACAUACUGAUCAAUCCUUUAAUUUGGUAGAAUAAUGGGGUAACGAGGUUGGAAACUAAAUUAUGGCUUGAUGUGACUGUUAUAAAAAGGCAUUAGAAAAAACAUUUUUUAUUCACUCUCUCUUAAAAAAUCAGUUAAAUCAAUUUCUUUAAGCCAAAAGGGCUUGUAGAUUUAUUUCCACUCUCUGAUUAAGAAAAAUGUCACAUAUAAAUAGCGAGGGUAUUUCCUUUGGUGCAGGGGUGUGCAGGGAAAAACUAGCUGCUCUGCUAACCACUGUUGCAGAAAAGACAUCAGUUUUUAAAAGUCCCAAGUGAUCAUUUAAUUCUUUCUUAAAUCUAAACAAAAACAAAUUCUCUUCUAAAAACUGCAUGGUUUCUGCCCUCCAAAGACACAUGAGAAUAUUUCAAGCAACUGUUUAGUACUGUGUUAACACAAGGUCAGAAACAAAUAGUUAAGGAAAAUUCAAAUAAGACUGUCCUGCCGAGAAAGCCAGACAGUAGAUGUGUUUACUAAAUGUAUUAUGUCCAUAAUAGACUACAUUGCCAGGGGCUAAAAUAAGCUCGUUGAAUUCAUUUUAAUGAAUUAAUUAGCUUGAAAAUUCCCAUCUCAACUUCCUUGAUAUUCAGAGUUAUGUCCUCUUUAUAAAGAAACAGGCUGGGCAUCUGCUUCAGAUGCCUGCUUCUUCUGGGCAACAGGGCAUUUAUCGAGGAUCUACUUCUGCAAAGUCAUGUUUCUGGCACCUUACUAGUCACUGGAAGAUGCAGAAAUGUGGAAAACAAGGAAGCUUUCUUCAGAAACUUAAAAUCUAUCUGGGGACACAAAAUGUAGAGAGGAACCUAUAAUAUCAGGCAUAUUUCACAUUUUAUUUCUCGUCUGAGAACCACCAGAUUAUUGCUUUCUGGCUGAUAAUUAAUGAUUACUCCCUGGUAGGCAGUGCAAUCAAAUAAAGAAGAUGACUAGGGGUGUAUAUAAAGGCUAUGAACUGCUAAAACUUCUCUUCGGUGACGAAAGAAGUCAAAAGCAUUUUGAUUAAAAGGCACAGUUGGUAUCGAGGCGAGAGAGUUGAUAACUGAAAGGGAGCAAAUGCAAAUAAAUAUUUGAUGGACUUUAUAAAUGAAUAAGAAUGCAAGGGAUUCACAGUCAGGAAAUAAUGUAAAGAAUAUCAUUGCAUUCCUGAUGCCCAACCUAAAGUAAUUUGGAAAUGUAAUAUUGUCUUUUAAGACUGUUGGUAACUAAAUAGCGGCUCACUGCUUGAAGCUUCCACUAAAUGAAUUUGAUACCUGAUAGCAUAGAGUAGUUAAGACCCUAACCAUCUUGACACGAACAUAUAUUUAUUUCAUACUAAGAAAUUCAAACCAGUUCAGAGUGGACGCCUUCAGAAUGGCUGUCCCCUUCACGGCUGCUUCUCCUAUUCAGGUAGGCUUUGCACAUUGCAAUAUGUACCCUAAUUCCAACACAGCUGUCCAUCACCUUCAUUUGAUCUGCGGAAAAUCAAGAACCAAUAGUGGCGAUAGCCAAACAAAGAGUUUGAGAUGGGGGUGAGGUAACUUGAUCUCGUCUUAUGAUACACACACCUGCUAUUACCACUUGGUCUGGGUUAAAUGCUUUUAACUGAGCAACCGAUCUGGUGGUGCUGUGUUGUGUAACAGAGAAAGUUAUCCCCGAGCAAGGCUGUUGUAUGCCCUCAUUUCCAACAACACCUAGGUUUAUUAUCACAGAUGGACUGAAAAAAAAAUAGAGUCUGGUGUCAUAAAAGGUGAUUUUAAAACCUACUGGUGAAGACUUGGCUGCUUGAUUAAAUUCAGUCUAAAAAGAACUAGUUAGAAGUCAUGUCCACUUUUUGGAAAAAAAAAAAAGGCAAACUUCUGAUAAAGAUAGCUUCAGACACAAUUCAAACCUAGUCCUUUUGAAAUAAAAGUAAUAACUCACAAUGUACAGGCAUCAAAAGCUAAAGUUGAUAGAAAGGACCCUUCCCAAACAUCUACCAGGCUAUCCCUGUAAAAAUUACACACACACAAUCCCCACUUUUAUUUUAACUAUUAUUAUUUAACUAAAAAGCUCUUUGCACGUUAACACCUGACACUAUAUAAGACUCAAAUAAGCCCUCUUGGAGAGAUAUGGACUGUCAAGGAUGAGUACCUGCUCCCUCCCCUGACUCUAGGACCAGGCCUGGCUCAUCCCUGUGGCUGGAGUAGGAAUAUGGUGGGGCCCAGCUCCCAUCCCCACAAGGCACAUGGGCUUCCUGAAACCUGAGGCUCAGUAUGUCCCCCCAACACCCCACCACACACACUGGGGUUGCCUUGCGUGUUUGAAGCUAAACAAAGUAAAGCAGAGUUUGAGAUAGGGGUGAGGUAACUUGAUCUCGUCUUAUGAUACACACACCUGCUAUUACCACUUGGUCUGGGUUAAAUGCUUUUAACUGAGCAACCGAUCUGGUGGUGCCAUGUAAGAAACAAUACAUAUUAAAAAUAAGAGGUUUAAUUCUUCCUAUUGAAAAUGGGGAAGACAUUUCUAUCCUCUCAUUUUUCUUAGAGCAUUUCCCUUAAAUUUUUUAUCAUUGUACUUUCUCAUCUCUUUGACAUGUAUAAAAAUCCUUUUGAAGACCAGAUGGGCAUCUUGCCAGCUUUAUGCCCCAGGAUCAUCUUUCUCAAGGACCUAGGAGCCCUCUCUUUGAAAUGUUAACAUCUAGGGAGAAGGUACCCUGUUUCCCAGUUUCUGUGGACGGGUAGAGACCUAACUUCAGGGGGUCCCUCUCUCUAAGUUGCAAAACUGUCUACAGUCAUAAAAACUGUGUUUUUCCUUCGGAUAAAGCCAACUAGCUAACAACACCCUAGUUAUAGGAGAAUUUAGGACAAACCGUAUAUGGCAAAUGGUGCUAUCAAGUCCUCUUACUUGAGGACUAGUGACUGUUUAUCUUGAAAACAUGUAUGUGAUGGGCUGCAUGUGCUUGUGUAUAAAGGGGGGAAGAUUUCUGUCUUUGCAAUCUCUUGUUUGUUUGCAAAGAUGUUUUUGAUUAUAUUUCCCUGAUAAAGGUAGAGUCCACUUCACCUCAUGAAGAGCUGGAGUUUCAGUGGGGAACCCUCAGCCUGAAUGACAGACCCAAGAUGUUUACUUACUCAUCUAUCCUGAACCCACCCCACAUCCCCUUGCCCCAGUGUGAGGGAAAUUUUGAGGAGGUCCUUUUGUCCUAAAGAUGUACAAAUAUUCAGUGGCCUCUGUGUUAGACUGUAACCUUAUUAGCCUCUUACAUGUGAGAUUUCCCAGAGGCAUCUGUGAG
rnacentral:lncRNA from 1 species